rnacentral:rRNA from 1 species
GGAAUAUUGGACAAUGGGGGGAACCCUGAUCCAGCAAUGCCGCGUGUGUGAAGAAGGCCUUCGGGUUGUAAAGCACUUUCAGUUGGGAGGAAGGGGUGAGCGUUAAUACCGUUCAUCAUUGACGUUACCGACAGAAGAAGCACCGGCUAACUCUGUGCCAGCAGCCGCGGUAAUACAGAGGGUGCAAGCGUUAAUCGGAAUGACUGGGCGUAAAGCGUGUGUAGGUGGUUAGAUAAGUUAGAUGUGAAAUCCCUGGGCUUAACUUGGGAACUGCGUUUAAGACUGUCUAGCUAGAGUACUGUAGAGGAUAGUGGAAUUUCCAGUGUAGCGGUGAAAUGCGUAGAUAUUGGAAGGAACACCAGUGGCGAAGGCGACUAUCUGGAUAGAUACUGACACUGAGACACGAAAGCGUGGGGAGCAAACAGGAUUAGAUACCCUGGUAGUCCAUGCUGUAAACUAUGAGAACUUGCUGUUGGAUGCAUAAAGGCAUUUAGUAGCGAAGCUAACGCGUUAAGUUCUCCGCCUGGGGAGUACGGUCGCAAGACUAAAACUCAAAUGAAUUGACGG